rnacentral:rRNA from 1 species
GAUGAACGCUGGCGGCGUGCCUAAUACAUGCAAGUCGAGCGAACAGACGAGGAGCUUGCUCCUCUGACGUUAGCGGCGGACGGGUGAGUAACACGUGGAUAACCUACCUAUAAGACUGGGAUAACUUCGGGAAACCGGAGCUAAUACCGGAUAAUAUAUUGAACCGCAUGGUUCAAUAGUGAAAGACGGUUUUGCUGUCACUUAUAGAUGGAUCCGCGCCGCAUUAGCUAGUUGUUAAGGUAACGGCUUACCAAGGCAACGAUGCGUAGCCGACCUGAGAGGGUGAUCGGCGACACUGGAACUGAGACACGGUCCAGACUCCUACGGGAGGCAGCCGUAGGGAAUCUUCCGCAAUGGGCGAAAGCAUGACGGAGCAACGCCGCGUGAGUGAUGAAGGUAUUCGGAUCGUAAAACUCUGUUAUUAGGGAAGAACAAAUGUGUAAGUAACUAUGCACGUCUUGACGGUACCUAAUCAGAAAGCCACGGCUAACUACGUG